GCGGAUGUGGCGGAAUUGGCAGACGCGCUAGAUUCAGGUUCUAGUAAGAGCAAUCUUGUGGAGGUUCAAGUCCUCUCAUCCGCACCA
rnacentral:tRNA from 1 species